rfam:Candidatus Yanofskybacteria bacterium RIFCSPHIGHO2_02_FTLL_46_19 rifcsphigho2_02_scaffold_268, whole genome shotgun sequence.
CUUUAAGAGAGUUUGAUCCUGGCUCAGGAUGAACGCUGGCGGCGUGGAUAAGGCAUGCAAGUCAAACGGACUCCGUAGCAAUACGGAGUACAGUGGCGAACGAGUUAGUAACAUCUUGGUACGUACCCUCGAGAUGCGAAUAACUAGUCGAAAGAUUAGCUAAUACGCAAUGGUCUCGCAAGAGUAAAGGAGCAAUCCGCUCGGGGAGCGGCCUAGAUCCUAUCAGCUUGUUGGCGGGGUAAAAGCCCACCAAGGCUAUGACGGGUAGGGGGCGUGAGAGCGCGUUCCUCAACGACGGAACUGAGAUACGGUCCGUACACCUACGGGUGGCAGCAGUCGAGAAUAUUCGACAAUGGGGGAAACCCUGAUCGAGCGACGCCGCGUGCAGGAAGAAGUAGCUUUGCUAUGUAAACUGCUUUUGCGUGGGAAAAAUUUUGAUUGUACCACGAGAAUAAGGGGUUGCUAACCUCGUGCCAGCAGCAGCGGUAAUACGAGGACCCCGAGCGUUAUCCGGAAUUAUUGGGCGUAAAGCGCAAGUAGUCGGUUCUGCUAGUCUGAUGUUAAAUCUUCCGGCUCAACUGGAAAACCGCAUCAGAAACGGCAGGACUAGAGCGGGUGAAAGGUAAGCGGAACGUGCGGUGUAGGGGUGAAAUCCAUUGAUAUCGCACGGAACACCAAAAGCGAAGGCAGCUUACUGGCGCCUUGCUGACGAUCAGUUGCGAAAGCGUGGGCAUAAAAAAGGAUUAGAUACCCUUGUAUUCCACGCCCUAAACGAUGCAGACUAGCUAUUGGGAGCAUCGACCCUUCCAGUGGCGAAGCUAACGCGUUAAGUCUGCCGCCUGGGAAGUACGAACGCAAGUUUAAAACUCAAAGGAAUAGCCGGGAAUUUGCACAAGCGGUGGAUCAUGUGGUUCAAUUCGACUCUAAGCGAAGAACCUCACCAAGGCUUGAAAUCCAGCUGCAUGCUUUAGAAAUAAAGCAGCCUUCGAGGGUGCUGGACAGGUGGUGCACGGCUAUCGUCAGCUCGUCUCGUGAGAGGUAUCCUUAAGUGGAUUAACGAGCGCAACCCCUAUUGGCUGUUACAAGUGUCAGUCGAGACUGCUGUGGUAACACAGAGGAAGGCGGGGAUGACGUUAAGUCAGCGUGCCCCUUUGAUGCCUUGGGCUACACGCAUGAUACAAUGGAUGUUACAAUGGGUCGCCAACCCGCGAGGGGGAGCUAAUCCCAUCAAAGGCAUCCCUAGUUCGGAUAGGAGGCUGCAACUUGCCUCCUUGAAGCCGGAAUCGCUAGUAAUCGCAGAUCAGAACGCUGCGGUGAAUACGUUCUCAAAUUUUGGACUCACAAUAAAAGCGCCUGGCAGGUUGUUUUUCUAAGCGGUUUAAAUCCGCUCCCUC